rnacentral:rRNA from 1 species
AGGGAAUCUUCCACAAUGGACGCAAGUCUGAUGGAGCAACGCCGCGUGAGUGAAGAAGGCUUUCGGGUCGUAAAACUCUGUUAUUGAAGAAGAACGUGUGUGACAGUAACUGGUCAUGCAGUGACGGUAUUCAAUCAGAAAGUCACGGCUAACUACGUGCCAGCAGCCGCGGUAAUACGUAGGUGGCAAGCGUUGUCCGGAUUUAUUGGGCGUAAAGCGAGUGCAGGCGGUCUUUUAAGUCUGAUGUGAAAGCCUUCGGCUUAACCGAAGAAGGGCAUCGGAAAC